rnacentral:rRNA from 1 species
AUUGAACGCUGGCGGAACGCUUUACACAUGCAAGUCGAACGGCAGCACGGGUGCUUGCACCUGGUGGCGAGUGGCGAACGGGUGAGUAAUACAUCGGAACGUACCCAGUUGUGGGGGAUAACUAACCGAAGGGUUAGCUAAUACCGCAUACGACCUGAGGGUGAAAGCGGGGGACCGUAAGGCCUCGCGCAAUUGGAGCGGCCGAUGUCUGAUUAGCUAGUUGGUAGGGUAAAGGCCUACCAAGGCGACGAUCAGUAGCUGGUCUGAGAGGAUGAUCAGCCACACUGGAACUGAGACACGGUCCAGACUCCUACGGGAGGCAGCAGUGGGGAAUUUUGGACAAUGGGCGAAAGCCUGAUCCAGCCAUUCCGCGUGAGUGAAGAAGGCCUUCGGGUUGUAAAGCUCUUUCGGCAGGGAAGAAACGGCCUAGGUUAAUACCUUGGGCUAAUGACGGUACCUGAAGAAGAAGCACCGGCUAACUACGUGCCAGCAGCCGCGGUAA